rnacentral:tRNA from 1 species
GCCCCGGUGGCUCAGUGGUACUUUGCGCAGGCAAAUGUUUGCGUGAAGCACAAAAGAGCGUUACCUUGGUAAGGUAGAGGUCGCGAGUUCAAUUAAGCUAAAGCAUGACUUGGCUUUGAGAGUCUCGCUCGGGGCU